AAUGUGAGGUGUGCGUGUACAGUGAUACAAAUGAUCGAAGUGGGGGGGGGGAGGCGAAGGGGCAAAUGCAUUUGUAGUUGGGAAUGGGAUGGGCACGAUUAGUCCAGCACUAAUGGACUGAAUCCUCGUCUUGUACCCAUCUUUUUUCGGAUGGAGCGUUAAAUACUACGCAUGACCGGAGACGCAGUACACCGGUUCAUUCCCCGAUGUAAGUUCGGCGACAUGGUAUUUUGCU
rnacentral:lncRNA from 1 species